rnacentral:rRNA from 1 species
GCUCUUGGAAACGGGUGGUAAUGCUGGAUGCUCCAACUUGACGCAUGUCUUGUUGGGAAAGUGUUUAGUGGCAUGGGAUGGGGUCGCGUCCUAUCAGCUUGUAGGCGGGGUAAUGGCCCACCUAGGCUUCGACGGGUAGCCGGCCUGAGAGGGCGGACGGCCACAUUGGGACUGAGAUACGGCCAGACUCCUACGGGAGGCAGCAGCC